GGGCCCGCCCCCCGGCCGGUAACGGCUGCGGUGCGAGAGGCGGGCAGGGGGGGCGGUGCCGGCAGUGAGCGCGUAGGGAGUGGGCCUGGGGUGUUGGGAGCCAGGGAAAAGAUGGAGAUAAAUGUUUGAAAGUUGCAUUUAGCCCCACCGUGCGGUUUCUGUGAUUUGCCCCGCCGGGUCUGCUUCCCUCCGUGAGGCCCAGGGAACGAGCAGCCCUUGCUUCCCCAGCUGUGGCCUGUCCCGGGUGCCUCAGGGGUGCAGUCAGAAGCGGGCUGAGGGGAUGUUUCACAGCUGGUACGAGGAGUUGGAGUUCUGUGAAGCUCGCUGAGAUUCUAUUGUCAUAGCCUUUUGGGUUGGCCUUGCUGCGUUUGUGACGUUUCUUUUCCUUAUUUUACUGUAUAUGUCCCACCCUAGAUCAACUCCAGUAAAGGUGAAGUUUAGGAAGCUGCUGGGAAGAAGGCUCAGGGAGGAAGAGGCAGGGGGCACAUGGGAGUCAUCAAAUAUCAUCCACAGCUCACAUUUUUGCUGUCAGUCAUACUCCAUUUGCAGACAAGAGACUGUGAGGAACCAGAUAGAAGAAAGCAGUUCCAAUGGUGAAGAGCCUCAUUGAAGUGAUCUCAGUAGCCCAGACUCAGAUGUGGUUGCUCCUCAAACACCCACCUCCCUUUCAGAUGAAACUGGAAUUCAUGGAAGGAUCUGAGCCUGAGUUAAAACUGGAACAGGUUAAACAAAACCAUAAGUACAGUACUCCUGACUGCAGAGAAAAACUCAGCACUUUGACUUUCUAUUAAGCACUGAUACCACAAGCUUGAACUAGGUUGGGAGAAGAAGGAGAAGAAAAAUGUAUUUCUACAGAGGACAAACCAGAAAAAUCCUGGAUGCAAAAGAGGAAGUCUUAACAACAACAUUUUAGGAACAUUGCUGGAGUUGCCUGGUCAGCAUUUUAGAUCAGCAUUUAAGGUCCUGAUGAUGACUGUAAAUUUUCUCUUCUCUUUUUUUAAGUAAGGGUCCAAACUCAAACUCCUCUCCCACUUGUGUGCUGCAAAGCUUGUGCUGUCAGUUGAGCAUUCUCAUUGAGAACCAUUUUUCACUCUUCCAGCAGAAAGUCUAUACCAGUUACACCCCAAGUCCUGUGACGAGUUCUGCUUUGCUCAUCAGAAUGCACACUGAGUCCUGUUAUCACUUCUCACUGGGUUGUCUUGCUAUGAAAGAAAGCAGCAACCCAUUGAUCUUAUUGAACAGGCAGCAUAAUCGAUAUUGUUUAUAAAUCACAAGAGCCACAAGUCAUUUAUUUCUAGCUGUGUUUUCAGGUCACACUCAUCAGCUGCAUCUUACUGACACCCCCACGUGGUCGUCAUCUGAAAAAUGAGCAACAAUGUCAAGUGCACUACCAACAAUAAAAUUUUGCUUUUAGAAGAGUUACAACUGGAUUCACUAACUUAAAGCUCAGCAGUUUCCUCAAGCAUAGAAUAUGCUUUUUUAUUACUUUUCUAUUGCAAAAAACAUCUGGGUUACUUAAAAUAUAUUAAAACACUUUUUGCCUAGGACAGCCUUUAAAAAGCUAAUGACAGCACUAACUGUUUCAAGUGUCUUACUGAAUAAAGUCAUUAGCUACCUACUGUCCAGAAAUAACAGGUUAGUUACCAACAAUCAAUUAUUUUUUGUCUUCCAUUUUGAAAUGGUAGAUGGAAAGAAAAUGUUAAUAUUGAACAACCUUGAAAUGGUAUCUGUCAGGUAUUAGAAAAGGUAUUAGAAAAAGGGAGGUGUGUUUACAGUGUAACAGAAGCUACAGCACUCCCUGAGGGUCACAGCAGCUUUUCAGUGAGGUGGAGAUGUUUUUAGCUCAGCUGGAGCACAGUCAGAAAAGCCCCUCACACUCCCUCCCACUUCUGUGUCCUCUGCUCUCUCCAUCUCUCCACACCUGUGGAGCUCCACCAAGCCCAAGACAGAAGCAGGUGAAGGCCCACUAGGUGGUGAGGAACCCUCAGAGCUGCAGUAAUCACAAACCUGGGACUGCAGAGUUGAGCUGAAGAAGGCAGCAAGGGCUGUAAUAGAUGUAAGACUGCAUAGCUAGUUGAGGACAAGACAAAAUUAAUUCAAAUCUUGUGGAGAAGCUUAGAAAUUCUACAUCCCCAAGCAGGCAGCAAAAGCUCCUACAAUGAAGCACUGUCAGAGUAGCCUUAUGUACAGGGAGCGUGGGCUAUGAUGUUAGCAGAGUGGGUGGGUUGGGCCAUGUUAAAAAAAUCCUUAAACACACGAGACAGACCAAACUACUGGGCACAAGCUUGUAUUGUGUUGUUUUUUUCAUCUCCAGACUUUUUAAUCUCUGAAAUAAUCACUUCUGCAGUUUGCUUUUUGAGCAAACUGACUACUCCUGGUGUUAGGCUCGGGAACCUGUCAAGGCGUAAAGCUGUGCGAGUCAGACUGAAUAAUGGCCAGAUGGAGAAAACAAGAAAAGGCUGCAGGAACUGGAACUGCAACAUGGACAGAGAUGUAUCACAGAACCAAACAUCUCCAUCAGUCAACUCCAAUGGUCACAACAGCCUUUGCCUCCCCUCAGAUACCCUUUCCUUUUGCUGGAGCUGAGGUAGUUCUCUCAGGAGAGAGAACUUACAGUUCUUUGGCUGCAAACUGGGAUAGUUUAACUCCAGUUGCCAUAAAUUCCACUCUAAUCACACAGUACCAUCGAAGACUGUCUGAAGAGGACCAAACCAUCUACACCCAUUUUCUCCUCAAGGAUGCAACAACUGCACUUUGAUCAUUCCUGCCAUGUCCCAUCUGCCCUGCACUACGACAUCUCUCCUGCAACAGCUCUGCACUGCCUGUGGGCACAGUCUGCUACAGCACCCUCCUCCCUGAUUCGUGGCAGACCUGUAGCACCCUGUUUUCCAAGAACCUCUUCUCUACAGAUGGAUUCCAAGGGUAUUUCUGGAAGACAUGAAUACUCACACUUGUAACAACUGGUCUGUCGUUAGUUGCACUGGAACUUGACUUAACUACUUAAGAGACUUUUAAGUUUUUUUACCCUUCAAAUUACCUGGAAACAGAAGGCACAUAGUACAAAGUGUACAGAUAGUAAUAAAUAAUAUGCAAAACGCAA